AUUGAACGCUGGCGGCAUGCUUUACACAUGCAAGUCGAACGGCAGCGCGGGCUUCGGCCUGGCGGCGAGUGACGAACGGGUGAGUAAUGCAUCGGAACGUGCCCCGUAGUGGGGGAUAGCCCGGCGAAAGCCGGAUUAAUACCGCAUACGACCUGAGGGUGAAAGCGGGGGACCGAAAGGCCUCGCGCUAUUGGAGCGGCCGAUGUCGGAUUAGCUAGUUGGUGGGGUAAAGGCUUACCAAGGCGACGAUCCGUAGCUGGUCUGAGAGGACGACCAGCCACACUGGGACUGAGACACGGCCCAGACUCCUACGGGAGGCAGCAGUGGGGAAUUUUGGACAAUGGGGGCAACCCUGAUCCAGCCAUGCCGCGUGCGGGAAGAAGGCCUUCGGGUUGUAAACCGCUUUUGUUCGGGAAGAAAUCCUCUGGGCUAAUACCCCGGGGGGAUGACGGUACCGGAAGAAUAAGCACCGGCUAACUACGUG
rnacentral:rRNA from 1 species